rnacentral:lncRNA from 1 species
AAUUCACCUUUUUACAGGUGUUGUUCUGUUCCCAGAGGCCACCCUUCCUCUCAGAGCAGUUUUACCUAGUUAUAAAGCUGCUUUUGAACGGGCCUUGGGACAAGAUUAUGCUCCUUGUACUAUUGGUGUCGUAUGUGAUCUCCUUGUUAUGCUUUACAUUAUUUUCCUCUGUAUAGACUUUGUCCCAUCAUUCCUUUCCUUCAAUUAAUGUUAGCAAUGUCUUUCAGGUUCGUGUUGAGAGGGAUAUUGUAAAUAGAAGGUACAAUCUCGCAACUACUGGUACAACCGCUGAGGUACAGAGUGAAUACCUUGUUUUAUUUUUGUUUUUGAGUAUUUGGAGGGUCUGAAAGCACCAGCCCAUUCCUUUUCCUAUGGAGAGUGAGAGAUUUGACUGCUUACUAGCACUGUCCCUAUACCACGUUAAGGUACGAUGAUGCAUAGCUUUUAACAUGAACCAACUCGCCGCAGUAUUUUCCAAUAACCAUAUUCCCCUCUAUUGGGUCCCUGAAACACUGAAACCAGCUGUUCUUAUGUUAUUUGUUAAGUAAUUUGGGUUCUAUUUACUUUUAAUUUUUUUAUGUUCGAUCCUUAAAGCAAAACGUCGAAGGAGCAGGACAUCUCUUCACUGCAAAUUAACCGCGCUGUAAAAUUGGGUUACAUUCAGUGUUUCUAUAUUAUCUGUGUUUUUUUCUUUUUUCCAUAAAACAGAGUAUAUGAUUUUGCAAAUGAACUUUAUGUUGGAGAGAGGAGUCAACUACAACCAGCAUUUACAUGCAUUUUUAAAAUUUGUGUUAAGAGUAUUAUUAUUAUUAUUAUUUUUUUUUUUUGGUUAGUCAACUGAAUACACAGUAUCUUGCUUGAUUAUUGUCAAGCAGAUAAAAUGAAUUUCCUGUUGAAGUUGUUUUCUUAUUUAAAGCAAUUAUGAGAAGAGGAUGAUCAUAAAUCAAAUGGUCAUGCUGAAGAAUUAUAUGAACUCAAACUUUAGAUCUUAAAAAUCACUUUUCAUUUUAUAAACUCAGGAAUCUAAAUGGGAACUAAUAGGUCCCUUUUGUCAAAAGUGGUUUGUAAUGUCUGGAAGUAGCCUUUUUGUUCAUAGGAAACAGUCUGACUUUCACUAGUCAUACAGUUUACAGACCAAUUAUAUACUGAUAAUUACAAUCUCAUGGAAUUUGUACAUUAACAAGUGUUAUUUCAUGCUGAAUUCAAGAGAGCAGCAGAAUAUGAUUGAGAUAUUUAUGCAUGAGUUGAUGAGGAGAUGGUGUUCAGUAUUGGACACUGGAGCUGUACGAUGCAAGUUGGUUGUUAUAUUUUAUAGUUAAGUUGCAGUUUUACCCUCAACUCUUUUUCCACAAAAUUAUUUAUCUAGUGUCUAUCAUGGGAGUGGAGAAUUUAGAGUCAUAACUACCCCCAAAUUGUUGGAUGAUACCUUUAUUUCAUAUUGCAAUCCGUUCAUCUAUACAUUAAAUCGACUUUGUAAUUAAUAUGUGCAUCUUCUGAGGAUUAAAAUUGAAAUAUGGCUGGCAAAUAUGUGCACGAGGAAAAGUAGGUGAAGAAU